GUCCACGCCUAACGAUGUCUACUAGUUGUCGGUCUUAAUUGACUUGGUAACGCAGCUAACGCGUGAAGUAGACCGCCUGGGAGUACGGUCGCAAGAUUAAACUCAAAGGAAUUGACGGGACCCGCACAAGCGGUGGAUGAUGUGGAUUAAUUCGAUGCAACGCGAAACCUUACCUACCCUUGACAUGGUCGGAACCCUUAAGAGAUUAGGGGUGCUCGAAAGAGAACCGAUACACAGGUGCUGCAUGGCUGUCGU
rnacentral:rRNA from 1 species